AGCCCCUGGGCAGUAAGCAGCUAGAAACUAGAGAUGUUCUAGCAACCAUAUGGCAACAAACAAACAACCACAGAGAAUAUGGUAGCUGCAAGGUUUGUACAGGGAUUUUAAUGGCAUGUUAAAAUACAUUUAAAUAAUAAUAAUAAUAAUAAUAAUAAUAAUAAUAAUUAUAUAGCUGUGAGAAUAAUCUCAAAGUAGGCCAUUUACAAGAAUAAAACUGUAAUGUAGUAAUAUUUUCAAAGUAAUUAAAGCAAAUAUUAUGAAAAAAAGUAGCACCUUUAUUCUUAAUCUUAUUUAUUUUAAGUCACACUAAGCAAACACUUCUCACGUGUUUUUUUUUUUUCUUUUUCAGAAAAUAUAAAAUAAUCUAGUGACAGUAUCUAAAAAAAAAAACAAACAAAAAAAAAAACAUCUUGAGUGUGUGCAUAUUACAGCUUACAGCAGUGGUCACUAACCUUUUUAAGCCCAAGAUCCCUGACCUCAGCUUUAAUGAAAGACAAGAUCUACCUAUAGACGAAUUGAUAGAAAAAGACAGCCCGGAUUUUACUUCCAAUUUGAGGACUUUUAUUUAGUAUUUUAAUUAGUGAUGCGCCAAUCAUUAUUUUUCAUGGCUGAUUAAGUUACAUACCUGCAUGAUACAAAAACAGCAGACGGGCUGAAUGAAAUGCAAAUUUCACUCUCUGACAGCAGGUGGCACUUAUGGAACAGCAGUGAUAUGGCAUUUCCUUGGUUGUGCUGAAAUACUACUUAUUCGGAGGUUCUCCUGGGGAGAGUUCUAGUGAUGUCGAGUGUUGUGUGUCUGCAUCUGCACUGUGUGUGUGUGUGUGUAAUGAGAGGGAUAUCCUCUUGGAGACUCCUGUCUGGCAAGAGCUGGAAACAGAUCAUCACCUUGUGGACCUGAUAUCAACAGAGAGAGAGAGAGAGAGAGAGUGUGAAAAACAAGGAAAGAGAGAUGGUAAGUUAGAGCAUGGGAUCAGGGAAGCUGCUGUGAGAAUUGUUUCAUUAUUAUUUCUUUUUUUCUUUUUUUUUCUUGGCAGUGGUGAUUCCAAAGCUUGACCAUAAAAUUACAAUGACCGUUUCUGGCAUUAUAGGGCUUUAUGGGUCAUUUUAGUGAAUGCUUAACGGGUUUAUACAGUGGCUUUUUAUAUUCUUCUCCUUUUAACAUUACUAACAUUUUAUACACUCCACUGCCUUUAAUCUACUAGAUUUCUUUUUCUCUAGAUGGUGAUUUUAAAUCUGUUUAGGGUUUUUUUGCUGUUUAUAGCAUCAGAACAGGAAGUAAUAAUUUCCACCACAAACCAUAACCAAUGCAACCCAAUGUACAAGCUGGAAAAUAUAGCAAUUUCAUAAAUGAGGAGAGCUGGCCCAUGCUCACUUAUAACCUGCUGCUUU
ensembl:lncRNA